CCUACGGGUGGCAGCAGUGGGGAAUAUUGGACAAUGGGGGGAACCCUGAUCCAGCGACGCCGCGUGAGUGAAGAAGUAUUUCGGUAUGUAAAGCUCUAUCAGCAGGGAAGAAAAUGCCGGUACCUGACUAAGAAGCCCCGGCUAACUACGUGCCAGCAGCCCAGGGAAACCGUCGGGGGCAAGCGUUAGCCGGAUUUACUGGGUGGAAAGGGAGCGUAGACGGUGCAGCAAGUCUGAUGUGAAAGGUCAGGUGCCAACCCCGGGGCGUCAUUGGAAACUGGUGAACUGGAGUACAGGAGAGGUAAGCGGAAUUCCAAGCGUAGCGGGGAAAUGCGCAGAUAUAAGGAGGAACACCAGUGGCGAAGGCGACUUACUGGACUGUAACUGACGCUGAGGCUCGAAAGCGUGGGGAGCAAACAGGAUUAGAUACCCGGGUAGUC
rnacentral:rRNA from 1 species